rnacentral:pre_miRNA from 1 species
UUAGCUCAUAUUUGUAUGGAAUGGGAUCGUUUGCCUACGUUUGCCGCUAGGGGCGCUGUUCCAACUGCAUACAAAAUUGGGUCU